rfam:Eucalyptus grandis cultivar BRASTZ1 unplaced genomic scaffold scaffold_9, whole genome shotgun sequence.
AAGAUGAGAGACUUUCUGACUAGCCAAGGAGACUGCCUGAUACCAGGCACGAACUACUCGAACCGAUAUCAGUUCAAUCCGAGUAAAUCGACUUCAGAGCAGGCAAGUCAUCCUUGGCUACCAAUUGAGACUCUUGUCU